GAAGGUCUGGACCCUACUACUUCUACGACUUUUGAAAAUAUAGCAGACCACCUAAGGGGUGAAAUCUUUGAGUCCGUUCAAAAAGUCUUCAAAAAUCAUUGUUCAGAUGAAAACAAAUUACUCGCAAUCACAGAAAAUUUGCAUAAUGAUGAUGACAACACGGGUUUUCUCGGAGAAAUUUUAGAACAUUUAAAAGACAAACAGGGUGAGCACUAUGACUUUGCCCUAAAACAAUUUAACGAGAUUGUAGGGGGUUCAGCCUAUUCCAAUGCAGUGAAUACGAAUAAUGCAGUGAAUACGAAUGCGGAUCUCUUAGAAAGCCCACUUGAUCAAUUUGAGAUUGUGCCAUUGAUUCCUAUGAAAAUUGGAAACUUCUAUUUUUCAUUCACAAAUUCAUCUUUUUU
rnacentral:misc_RNA from 1 species